rnacentral:tRNA from 1 species
GGGCUGUAGGUUAGUUUGGUUAAACCGCCAGAUAAAUAAUCUGGAGAUCUCUGAUUCGAGUUCAGACGACCCCA